UGACAAUGUGACAGAUUGGCAGCCAGCAGACGUCAUCGGCAGGCACGUGGCGGCUCACUAAUUGGAGCAAAGAAUCAAGAGCAAUUAAAUAUCUGGGAAAACCUGUGGCCUGAGGACAGCGUGGCGCAAUUGGCGCUCAUCUCUGCUCACGAUUUGCCCCGCUUUCUAUUUCUGGAAGCUGCAAGAGGCAUGCAGCCCCUCACACACACACACACACACAACACACACAUAUGGAUACAAAACAGCACUGCAGUCAUACAGCAUGUGCCAGUCACUAUUAAAAGCCACUGGAUGAGCCGACCGCAUCCCUUCCAGGACAUUCUCGUGUAGUUUCUCUCCGUUGGCAUUGUGUGAAAUCCAGUGCAGUCUGCUUUUUAAGCAUCACACAUGAUCCACUUUCCAACUCUGAGGAAGAGAUUGUAGGCAUCUUCUGCUACACGUGCAACUGUGUCCCACACAGCCCCGAAGUUUGUCAUUCACUUGAACAACACAGCUGUGGUUGAAGCAGCAACAAGGGGACAUAACCUGAACACGUCCCUGUCCAGGGCCCUGGAUGUGGAUGGCCUUAUGGUGAGGUGAGGGCUCAGGAGGCAGGAGCGCUCUUUAGACGGUCACGUGGUUUUUAAGUCGGCGAGGUAAUAGGCUGUUCUAGGACUGAGUGAUCUAAACGAGCUUGCCGUUUGACAUGCAAAAUAACUUGGAAUACUUUUCUAACAAUUACACAAGGAGAGCAUUUUAAAUACAUGUUCGUAUUUGGGCGAGUCGGGCCACACCAACACACACAUCCCACGGGCUGCGAUGCGACUGCGGGAGGUCAAGAUGCAAGCGGCUGUCGCAACAGACAAUUAUAUAAUGAUUGCGAUGCUAGAUUCAAUACAUUACAUAAGGUCACACGACGCAUCCACAGCAUCAUGCCAAGGAUACUGUGCUGCCUGGAGCAGGCACCUGCAGUCCGCUCGCCCUCGCAUCGCCAGCCGGUGCCAGAAAAGAACUACCGGCACAGCGAGGCACCCCGCACACGCAUGCCGCAUUCCCGGAGACUACAGUUCCCGUUAUUAUGCCAAGCGCAUAACCCAAAAUUCGCAGGAUUACACACACACACACACAGGCCGCUCUUUUCCCCCCAAAUCAGGCCUAGUUUUGUGACGGGUCGCCAACUAAUCGGCGGUCGGCAGAGAUUAAACGAGUUUUUCCGAAGCUCACCUCCC